CCUACGGGAGGCUGCAGUGGGGAAUAUUUCACAAUGGGGGAAACCCUGAUGCAGCAUCGCCUCGUGUGCGAUGCAGGCCUUCGGGUGGGAAAUCGCUGUCCUACGGGAAGAAUACUCUCGGUGCCUUAGGAGCAAGCCCCGGCCACUUACGUUCCAGCACCCGCGGUAAUACGAAGGGGGCUAGCGUUAUCCGGUAUUACUGGCCGUAAAGGCUGCGUAGGCGGACCUUCAACUACGAGGUGUAAGGCUACGGCUCAACCUUAGUAAGCCUUUGAAACUGUAGGGCUUAGGUCCAGGACCUGAGAGUGGAAUUCCCAGUGUGGCGGUGAGAUGCGUAGAUAUGGGAGGGACCCCCAUCUGCGAAGGCGGCUAUCUGGUGUGUAACUGACGCUGAGGCACUAAAGCGUGCAGAGCGAACAGGAUUAUAUACCGGUGUAGGC
rnacentral:rRNA from 1 species